AUUUUGACUCCCUUUUAAUAGAUUCAAAAAUAUCAGUGAAGCAGCUUGUGCAGAUUGAAACCUAUUAUGGCAGGUAACGCUUCAUUUUCCACAGGCCUCUUGUUGAGGAGAGGUCAAAAAAAAAAAAAAAAAAAAAAAAAAAAAAAAAACCUAAGAGAAGAAAGAAACAGUGCUUUAUGUAAUGUAGUUAACAUUUGACAUUAAGUGAAAAAUAUUCAUUCCUUUCCUAUCCAGAGCAUAACAAUCUUCACAAACAAUAACAUACUAUAUACUAAACAUCAUUAAGAAAAUUUCCCUAAAGCUGUCCAUUAAUAAUCCCCUUUGGGUGGAACAACUUUGAGGGGAACUUUAGUUUACCCAGACUCCAGAGGCUACAGGGUUUGUCUGGAAAUAUCAUGAAGCCUGGAUCCCUUGUGAGAAUUUUCAGCACUUCAGCCUCCAGACUCAGCUGGAAACACUAUAACCAAGGUCUUUCAUGUGGUAUUUCAACAUUUCUCACUUCAGCCUCUGAAAGAAAUGGAAAUAAACCUUGUCUAUGUUUAUUAUAGCCCUAGAAGGAAGGUUGGAUUUCAAGACUGUUCUUCCAGGAGAGUGAAAGGUCGAUCUAAGAGUGAAGAAAUAACAAAAGUUAUUCUCAUCCUCCUUCAGUUCUUCUUCACUCUGACCUCCUCGUUCCUAAUGGGGGUUUGUGGUGUUGGCGACAUGGCAUUCAUGCAGUGAAGAGCAGAAAAUGUGACUGCUGUCAGAAAGACUCUAGUAUCAAACUCUGUGGUGUCAGAGCUAAUGACAGGAUCUACUGACAAAGAAUAUUAUGUUGGUGGCUAUGUGAAAUAACGAAGAUUUCUCUUAGCUAAAGUUCACUCCUUGAAAAAGACAAUGAAGGCCGGGUGCGGUGGCUCACGCCUGUAAUCCCAGCACUUUGGGAGACCAAGGUGGCGGAUGACCUGAGGUUGAGAGUUCGAGACCAGCCUGACCAACAUGGAGAAGCCCCGUAUCUACUAAAAAUACAAAAUAAGGCGUGGUAGCACAUGCCUUUAAUCCCAGCUACUCGGGAGGUUAAGGCAGAAGAAUCAGUGGUUCAGAAGAAUUGCUUGAACCCAGGAGGCGGAGGUUGCAGUGAACCAAGAUAGCACCAUUGUACUCCAGCCUGGGCAACAAGAGCGAAAAUUCCAUCUCAAAAGAAAAAAAAGGAAAAGAAAAACAAGAAAAGAUAGUGAAAAUAAUAAUAAGUUAAUUGAUUCAAUUCAUGUAGCUAGUCACCACCUGAAUAUAUCACCAUGAAUUCCACUG
rnacentral:lncRNA from 1 species